rnacentral:ncRNA from 2 species
CCCUAGUAAUAGCGGGUGGGUCCGCUGCGUUUUUUGGCGGAAAAAGGGAAGGCUGUGAUUCGCUGUUGAAGCGGAAAAUCGGCCACGGUCCCGCCGCUGUGAACCUGUCUUUUUCGCGCUAAGCCCGAAAAAGAAACCUCUUGGUAAAGAAGUGCCACUGUCCGCUCCAUGCGGAUGGGAAGGCGAUCCAAGAGGCAGGGAAGUCAGAAGACCUGCCCUACCCUCCAACAAAAC